UCUGACCUCAAAUCAGGUAGGAUUACCCGCUGAACUUAAGCAUAUCAAUAAGCGGAGGAAAAGAAACUAACAAGGAUUCCCUUAGUAACUGCGAGUGAAGUGGGAAAAGCUCAAAUUUAAAAUCUGGCAGUCUGAUUUUUUAUCUUUGGC
rnacentral:rRNA from 1 species